rnacentral:rRNA from 1 species
CCUACGGGAGGCAGCAGUGAGGAAUAUUGGUCAAUGGCCGUAAGGCUGAACCAGCCAAGCCGCGUGAAGGAAGAAGGAUCUAUGGUUUGUAAACUGCUUUUAUAGGGGAAUAAAGGUAUCCACGUGUGGAUGUUUGCAUGUACCCUAUGAAUAAGCAUCGGCUAACUCCGUGCCAGCAGCCGCGGUAAUACGGAGGAUGCGAGCGUUAUCCGGAUUUAUUGGGUUUAAAGGGUGCGUAGGUUGUUGUUUAAGUCAGCGGUGAAAGUCUGUGGCUCAACCAUAAAAUUGCCGUUGAAACUGGUCGACUAGAGUGUGUUUGAGGUAGGCGGAAUGUGUGGUGUAGCGGUGAAAUGCAUAGAGAUCACGCAGAACACCGAUUGCGAAGGCAGCUUACUAAGCCAUUACUGACGCUGAGGCACGAAAGCGUGGGGAUCAAACAGGAUUAGAUACCCUUGUAGUC